GACGAACCGUGCAACCGUUGUUCGGAAUCACUGGGCUUAAAGGGCGCGUAGGCGGGCGGUCAAGUCAGGGGUGAAAGCCCCCAGCUCAACUGGGGAAGUGCCUUUGAUACUGGCCGUCUAGAGGGAGGUAGGGGCAUGCGGAACUUCCGGUGGAGCGGUGAAAUGCGUAGAUAUCGGAAGGAACACCAGUGGCGAACGCGGCUUCCUGGUCCGACACCGACGUUCAGGCACGAAAGCGUGGGGAGCAAACAGG
rnacentral:rRNA from 1 species